rnacentral:rRNA from 1 species
GCAGUGAUGUGAAGCAAAUCGCACCAAAGCCAGUCCCAGUUCGGAUAAGAGGCUGAAACUCGCCNCUUUGAAGUCGGAAUCGCUAGUAAUCGCAGAUCAGCAUGUUGCGGUGAAUACGUUCCCGGGUCUUGUACACACCGCCCGUCACACCAUGGGAGUCGGAAAUGCCCGAAGCCAGUGACCCAAGCGGAAGCAGGGAGCUGUCGAAGGCAGGUCGGGUAACUGGGGUGAAGUCGUAACAAGGUAAC